GCCUAAAGCGUCCGUAGCCGGCUCUGUUAGUUUUCGGUUAAAUCCAUAUGCUCAACAUAUGGGCCGCCGGGAAUACUACAAAGCUAGGGAGUGGGAGAGGUAGACGGUACUCCGUAGGAAGGGGUAAAAUCCUUUGAUCUAUGGAUGACCACCUGUGGCGAAGGCGGUCUACCAGAACACGUUCGACGGUGAGGGAUGAAAGCUGGGGGAGCAAACCGGAUUAGAUACCCGGGUAGUCCCAGCUGUAAACUAUGCAAACUCAGUGAUGCAUUGGCUUGUGGCCAGUGCAGUGCCGCAGAGAAGUCGUUAAGUUUGCCGCCUGGGAAGUACGUACGCAAGUAUGAAACUUAAAGGAAUUGGCGGGGGAGCACCACAAGGGGUGAAGCCUGCGGUUCAAUUGGAGUCAACGCCAGAAAUCUUACCCGGAGAGACAGCAGAAUGAAGGUCAAGCUGAAGACUUUACCAGACAAGCUGAGAGGUGGUGCAUGGCCGUCGUCAGCUCGUGCCGUGAGAUGUCCUGUUAAGUCAGGUAACGAGCGAGAUCCUUGCCUCUAGUUGCCACCAUUACUCUCAGGAGUAGUGGGGCGAAUUAGCGGGACCGCCGUAGUUAAUACGGAGGAAGGAAAGGGCCACGGCAGGUCAGUAUGCCCCGAA
rnacentral:rRNA from 1 species